rnacentral:rRNA from 1 species
GACGAACGCUGGCGGCGUGCUUAACACAUGCAAGUCGAACGAAGUGGCGAACGGGUGAGUAACGCGUAAUCCACCUGCCCUUCAGAGGGGGACAACAGUUGGACACGACUGCUAAUACCGCAUAAUGAAGGUGGGGAUUGCGUCUGGUUAGCUAGUUGGAGGGGUAACGGCCGACCAAGGCGAUGAUCAGUAGCCGGUCUGGGAGGAUGAACGGCCACAUUGGGACGGAGACACGGCCCAGACUCCUACGGGAGGCAGCAGUGGGGAAGCUUCCGAAAUUGACGAAAGUCUGACGGAGCAACGCCGCGUGAGGGAUGACGGCCUUCGGGUUGUAAAGCUCUGUUAAUCGGGACGCGGUACCGGAAUAGAAAGCCACGGCUAAAUACGUGCCAGCAGCCGCGGUAAUUC